rnacentral:rRNA from 1 species
AUUGAACGCUGGCGGCAGGCUUAACACAUGCAAGUCGAGCGGAGUGAUGGUGCUUGCACUAUCACUUAGCGGCGGACGGGUGAGUUAUGCUUAGGAAUCUGCCUAUUAGUGGGGGACAACAUCUCGAAAGGGAUGCUAAUACCGCAUACGUCCUACGAGAGAAAGCAGGGGAUCACUUGUGACCUUGCGCUAAUAGAUGAGCCUAAGUCGGAUUAGCUAGUUGGUGGGGUAAAGGCCUACCAAGGCGACGAUCUGUAGCGGGUCUGAGAGGAUGAUCCGCCACACUGGGACUGAGACACGGCCCAGACUCCUACGGGAGGCAGCAGUGGGGAAUAUUGGACAAUGGGGGGAACCCUGAUCCAGCCAUGCCGCGUGUGUGAAGAAGGCCUUAUGGUUGUAAAGCACUUUAAGCGAGGAGGAGGCUCUUUUGGUUAAUACCCAAGAUGAGUGGACGUUACUCGCAGAAUAAGCACCGGCUAACUCUGUGCCAGCCGCCGUCGUAA